rnacentral:lncRNA from 1 species
AUUUGCUCACUGGAAUCUCCCAGAGCUGCUUCCAGCAGAAGCCACACAGGGAUGUUCCACGGUUCCUAUGGAGCAAGCACUGCCUCCUGCCAGUACAAGAGCGGCUUCAUCACAGUCACCCCUGGAACUUGUCGCCUUGCCCAUGACCCCAUCCAGGAGGGUCUUUACCCAAGUUUGUUUGUCCUUUUGAAUGUUCCACUUCCAAGGGCUGUGAUAACAAAAGAGCACUUUCACCAAACCAUGUUUCUUUCUCCCUGGCCAUUUAGUGCGAUCUCCAUUAUUCAUGAACUCUUCCAAUACUCUUCAUACCAAAAGCUCUCUGGCCAGAGGCAUAGAAUUGAUUUUGUGGAGUGGUUUGCAUGCUAUAAGAUGCUCUCAUUUAUUUAGCUGAAAGCCUCCUACCCUGGGCUGGGCGUCAAGCUGGGCCAGGCAGUGCAGGCAUAGGGUUUCUGGGUCUUGGAAAUCAUGGAACUCUGAGAUGAGGCCAAGGGGGGCCCAGAGCAAACAGAGGCUUCCUCCCUAAGGGGCUCCUGAUGCCCUUUCCUGCACUGGGUAAUGAAACUCCAAAGGCUAUUGCCAAAUUCUCUUCUGGCCAGUUCCCAGCUGUAGAAAUAUUCAAGCGAUAUUUGUAGAAAUGGAUUCCAUUGAAGACGUUAAGCCUUCUGAAUGGGCACGCCUCACUGGGCUCAAUUUACUCUGAAUAAAAUGCCCAAUGUGGUGGGAAAAGGAUGGACCUUCCAAUCAGACGCAUUUGAGUUCAAACACCAGUCCUGCUGCUAAAGAAAUGACCCCAUCUCUCCCAACUUCUGUUUCCUCACUUAUAAAAUGGGCUAGUAUGCAAAUUAAGUGGUAAAAACCAUGGGAGCACCCACAGCAGGGCUUGGCACAGAUGAAUGCCCCCAAUAAUGGUAGUGCCCUCUGAUUACCAAGAGCUUCUUACCAACCCCUUGUGAGCACUAACAAGGGCUUUCUUCAUUUACUCAGCAAAGUAAACUGCUGCUGAAUCUCUUUGGCCCUUGUGUUAGGCAAAAUAAUGUCCCUCUGCCAAAUAUAUCCACGUCUUAAUUUCCUAAACUUAUGAACGUUACUUUACAUGGCAAAAGAAAUUUUGCA